rnacentral:lncRNA from 1 species
GAGCAGGGUAGUAGAGGGAGAGUAUAGGCAACUUUCAGGAUAGCAUUUGAAAUGUAUAUAAAGAAAAUAUCUAAUAAAAAAACGAGGUUCUUUGUUUUCUGUUGUUGUGGUAGAAGAGUCAACAUAAAAACAACUUACAGGAGUAAGUUUAUUUUGGUUUCUUUUCUAGAGAGGAGGUCAGCCAUCGUGAUGGAGAAGCUUGGCUAUAGGAGUAUGAGAGCCGCCUGGCAUUGGGAUGCAGAGAGAACAGGAAGUGGGGGUGGGCUAUAAAACAGUCUGUCACCAGAGAUACAUGCUCCUAGCAAGGCUCUACCUCAUAAAGGUUCUGCCACCUUCCCAAUGACACCACCAGCUAGGAACAGAGUGUUCCAAUACAUGAACCUAUGGGGAACAUAUAUCCAAAAUAUGGGAACCAUGUAUAUGUUCAUCUGUUUUGGGAAUUUGGUGGGGUUUUUGUGUUAUUGUUGUUGUUUCUAUUUUGCACAGAGAGAAUGAAUGGAUUAGGAAAAAGUAAGAACUCCAAAGGAGCUGGCUUCCAGGGAAGAACACCCAUGUGUAGUCCUUUCUAAUGGUUGGAGACAUCUUGAGACAGUUGUAUCUUCUGGGUCACCCAAGCUGGCCUAGAAUUCCAAGUCUGUAGGCAUAUGUAUACAACAAGCCAGUCUUGUGUCAUAAAUCUGACAGUUUACUUUUCUAUCUGAAAAAAUUAGAUGUAAUUAUUUUUUUAUUUAAUUCUUGAAAAUAAAGGGAUUUUUUUUCCACUUUGAUGUAUAAUCAGCAGGAGGAUACCUGUAAGACUUGUCU